CUUACAGGAACAAAGGGUGUAUGGUGGAUGCCUUGGCUUCAAGAAGCGAUGAAGGACGUGAUAUGGCUGCGAUAAGUUUCGGGGAGGUGCCAAAUAACCUUUGAUCCGGAAAUGUCCCAAUGGGGAAACCCUACUACUUUCAGUAGUAACCCUUGUAUGAGGGGGCGUACCUAGGGAAGUGAAACAUCUCAGUACCUAGAGGAAUAGAAAGCAAUAGACGGAAAUUUCUUUUUGAGCGGAUGCUUUGCAUCAGCUCAUUGAGCAUGGUGCUUUGCGCCAUUACGCUCAAGAAGAAGGUUCUUGCGAUUCCCGGAGUAGCGGCGAGCGAAAGGGGAAUAGCCCAAAUCCUGCACCUUUUAAGGUGCAGGAGGUUGUAGGGCGGAAUCUGCAUUUAGUUGCAGAGAGUUACAAAACAGAUAUAUAGGAAAACACGUUGGGAAGCGUGACCCCAGUAGGUAAUAGUCCUGUAUUCGAAAUGUAUCUGACUCUCUUGGUUCCGUUCCUGAGUAGCGCGGGACAUGAAUAGCCCGUGUGAAUCCACCAGUACUAACUGGUA
rnacentral:rRNA from 1 species